CGUUGUAAUGGAGGGACCGAGGCACAGCGUGUGUUGAGUUCCACAUAUUUAUUUAAAGUGGAACUACUUCACAAAACAAUAACCAAGCAACAAAACGUGACUACGUGGUGCAACACACACAGACACAAAACAACAAUGGAGAACUGAAGCAUGAUCCCCAAUUAGAGACAACGAUAAUCAGCUGCCUCUAAUUGGGAACCAUACCAAGCACACCAACAUAGAAAUAGGAAAACUAGAACACCCCCCUAGUCAUGCCUUGAUCUACAACACCAUAGAGAACCAAGGGCUCUCUGCGGUCAGGGCGUGACAGCAACAUUUUAAAACUGUUGGCUGUGGAGUAAACUAAUGAAUACAACCCAGGUUGUAGCCUACGACUCGGCAUGUUGAUACCUGCCUGAUGCUGAAACCUGAACGUAGCCUGAGGGGUAAACUAUGAUACUAGCUAGAUAUACUGGUUUUCUAAAGUUAGCCAGCUUCAGUUAGCUUCACAUUCCAGCUCAGGCCUCAUCCAUCAGAAUAUACAGAACAGAACAGAAAAUAUCUCAAUGACUUGACAUGUUCUGGUUGUGAAUUCAGGCUACAAGGCUGGUUGAAUGAGUUGUCUAUGAAAGCUACUUCAUCUGUAAGAAAACAGGCGGCUGCACCAGUGACUGGGUCAGUUCUCUAAAAUGAGUCUCUCUGGGGAGAGAGAGGAGGGGGGCCCUGCCUCU